AGAUGAUGGACCACUCUACUCUCUUUUACAACAGGUGCCCCUACAGAUUCACAAAGUUCCAGUGUUGAGUUUUCAUGACCCCUAUUCAUCCAAGACAGGAAAAGGAAUAGAGUUGACAGGACUUCUUGCACUGUCCCUGGUAGCAGUUUAUGAGGGAACCAACCACAGUAGACAUAGCACGCUUCAUCAAAGAUGCACCAGAUGCAGCGGCUUUGUCUCCAUCACUGGUGAAAUGGGAUAUAAGUGGCUGGUCAUCACUUUGUAACUCACCAACAUAAUUAGCGACCCAUCUCUUCUCGUCUCCAAUGGUGGUCUCCGGAGGAAUGGUUGCAGUGCAGUCUUCUUGUCUUGGGCAGGUCUGUUGCAUAUUGGCAGCUGACGCUGGUUCAAUAUUUGCACCAAGAAGCAUACCACGCAUACCCUCUGUUGUAAGACUGGUACCCAGGUGACCGACAGCCAUGGCCACAUUCAGCUGUGCAGCUCUUCGUCCCCUGC